UACGUAGGGUGCAAGCGUUAAUCGGAAUUACUGGGCGUAAAGCGUGCGCAGGCGGUUAUGCAAGACAGAGGUGAAAUCCCCGGGCUCAACCUGGGAACUGCCUUUGUGACUGCAUGGCUAGAGUACGGUAGAGGGGGAUGGAAUUCCGCGUGUAGCAGUGAAAUGCGUAGAUAUGCGGAGGAACACCGAUGGCGAAGGCAAUCCCCUGGACCUGUACUGACGCUCAUGCACGAAAGCGUGGGGAGCAAACAGGAUUAG
rnacentral:rRNA from 1 species